ensembl:snRNA U6 U6 spliceosomal RNA
GUGCUUACUUUGUCAGCAUAAAUAUGAAAAUUGAAAUGUUACAGAAAAUAUUAGAAUGGCCCCUGUGCAACGAUAGCAAUUGUGAAGCAUUCAAAUUUUUU